rnacentral:rRNA from 1 species
UACGUAGGGUCCAAGCGUUAUCCGGAAUCACUGGGCGUAAAGCGUCUGUAGGUUGUUUAAAAAGUCUGCAGUUAAAGGUUGAAGCUUAACUUCAAAAAUGCCGUAGAAACUUUUAAACUAGAGGAUGGUAGGGGUAGAGGGAAUUUCCAGUGGAGCGGUGAAAUGUGUAGAUAUUGGAAAGACCACCGAUGGCGAAGGCACUCUACUGGGCCAUGACUGACACUGAGAGACGAAAGCUAGGGGAGCAAAUGGG